UCGAAUUCGGAACAAAGGUUCACCGCGUAUGGGAUGGGGAUGCGUCUGAUUAGGUAGUCGGCGGGGUAACGGCCCACCGAGCCAUCGAUCAGUAGGGGUUCUGAGAGGAAGGUCCCCCACAUUGGAACUGAGACACGGUCCAAACUCCUACGGGAGGCAGCAGUGAGGAAUAUUGGUCAAUGGGCGAGAGCCUGAACCAGCCAAGUAGCGUGCAGGAUGACGGCCCUAUGGGUUGUAAACUGCUUUUAUACAGGGAUAAAGUCGGGGACGUCGUUCCCCGUUUGCAGGUACUGUAUGAAUAAGGACCGGCUAAUUCCGUGCC
rnacentral:rRNA from 1 species